AGUGAACGCUGGCGGUAGGCCUAACACAUGCAAGUCGAACGGCAGCACAGUAAGAGCUUGCUCUUACGGGUGGCGAGUGGCGGACGGGUGAGGAAUACAUCGGAAUCUACUUUUUCGGGGGGGAUAACGUAGGGAAACUUACGCUAAUACCGCAUACGACCUACGGGUGAAAGCAGGGGAUCUUCGGACCUUGCGCGAUUGAAUGAGCCGAUGUCGGAUUAGCUAGUUGGCGGGGUAAAGGCCCACCAAGGCGACGAUCCGUAGCUGGUCUGAGAGGAUGGUCGCCCACACUGGAACUUAGACACGGUCCAGGCGCCUGCGGGAGGCAGCAGUGGGGAAUGUUGGACAAUGGGCGCAAGCCUGAUCCAGCGGUAGCGCGUGGGUGAAGAAGGCCUUCGGGUUGUAAUGCCCUUUUGUUGGGAAAAAAAAGCAGCAGGUUAAUACCCCGCUGUUCUGACGGUACCCAAAGAAUAAGCACCGGCUAACUUCGUG
rnacentral:rRNA from 1 species